CGCGCCUGGGCCGGACGUGUCUCCGGAAUGUCCAGCAACAAUUUGUACCACCCCUGCAUGAAUUGUUGCUGGACAUUUCUAUUAUUUGAGUUUACUCCAAUCAUCACCCCAUGUGCAGCGCUAUCAUUAAAAAAGGUUAUUCUGAGCCUUACAAGCAGUACCCAACAUCGGCCUGGAACACAGGAGUUCCUCCAGCAGCCAGUAGAGACGCAGUGAAGAAAUACUCGUCCUCGAGUAACCAACGCACUCUACUGGGAAACGAUCUGGCGACCUACUGCUCAUUUAUUGUUAGUUUUGAAUCGGCCCAGAAUACUGUUGACAUUACAGUUAAUUUUAUUUAAUACCAUCUUGAUUUCGUGUUCUCGUUUGUGUUUAAGUGUCAACAGUAUUCGUGUGCUCUACCCGUGUAUUAGUUUAUCCCCGGACCGCAGGGACAGUCUGAUUGUAACACUAGUCCUGGGAGCUGGCCUAAAGGAGUGAGAUCUACUAGAUGUGAAUGUAAUGGCUUUGAAGCCAACACUAACCACUGAGUCAUACUUUAGCCGCAACAAAGCUUCUUCUUGUUAUAUUAGGGUAAUGCUUGUUGUAUUGUAGUUUAUGAUGACAGUCACGAACGCAUGCAACACAACGAGGUUGUAUGUACUAGUAUUAUAAGACCAGUUAUAUUCCAAUCUAUACUUUAAGCUAAUAAAAUAAUUGUAAGGCACGCGGAAGUAGUGAAUUAAUAUAAUGCUUUUAUUAUAAUCAAUGUAUAUGAAUAUAAUCAUUUCAAGUAAAUCUAUCUGUGUAGAAUUAAUAUUAUUAAUGUUUCAAUGAAUACUAAACAUAUGAGAUGUUCCGACAAAGCACUAGAUUUGGCUUCUUAAUAUACAUACAUGUAUAACUGCGUAACAACAAUGUAAUCACUUAGAAUAAUAAAUAAGUAAGGCAAA